AUGUAACGCAAAAUUGGUCCAAGGUUUAUGCGUUUUUAACUUAAUUUUUCUUUUUCGAUUUAUGAAUGUUGGCAUUGAAGCGCUGGCAUUGUGCCAAAUUUUGUUACGACUUUCGCGAGUUUCCCAUCUUUAUACUUAUACAAUCUUUGGUUCAACUCCAUGGUUCAGUCGCCGCCAUUCUCAUGGAGGGUCAGCGAGAAUGAAAUUUUUAACUUUAAAGCUUCGUCUGCUAGAUUUAGAAGCUUAUCUACCAGGAAGGUAUUUUGAGAUUGACUGUUGGACUCUGCAAAUUGAAAUGAGGUAGAAAACUGAGAGCUUUAAGUUCGAUCCGUACAGAAAACAAAACAACUGGUUUGGAAAUGCUACCGGUGCUCUUAAAGUUUGUCGGAGAAUGAAAUUUUAACUUCAAAGCUUCGUCUGCUGGAUAAACAAGCUUAUCUACCAGAAAGGAGCCAUUGAUUUUUGAGAUUGGAUGCUGCACAAUGGAAAUUGAUAUUCUGGUAGAAAACUGGGAGCCAUAUAUUCGAUCCUGACAGAAAACAAAACGACUGGAGGUUCUCUUUAAAUCUGCCGGAGCUGAAAGUUUGAAGAAAUGUGCAUCCCUGUGCGAUUCAUCCCUGCUGUGUGAUAUGCAUUAAUGUCGCCGACCAUUUUAUAAAAUCUUUCAAUAAAGCAAAGAUUUUCAGUUUAUUGCUCUGAAAUAUAGUUCAGUUGCACAAAAACAAAAAAUUGAAUUGAAGAAAAACUUUAAACUGUAUGAAAUGACUAAAGUUUUGGAAUUUUU